AGACCCCACUGCUCCUCUUCCAGCAGACCCCGAACCACUGCAAAAUCCUGCCUCAGCUGCAGUGCUCCCUGCAGGCUGAGGGCCAGAGCAAGGCCUACCUGAACCGGAUCUUCUGAGUGAGAAUGUGGUUGAGCCAGGCGUCAAGAAGUGCAGUCAAGGCCUGUGUCCCUGAGAUGAGAAGCUCCUGUAAUUCUAGGGCGGAAAGACGUGCAGAAGCUUAAAGGUUAUAAUGACCAGGCUGGAUGGGGCAUAAAAGACCUGACACAGAUUCCCCUUUCCAAACUAGUGGCCUCUAGUUGAAGACCUCGAGGGGGGAGACCUCAUCCUGGAGCACCACUCGUUGUGCCUAGUUCUCCCUUCUAGAGCCAAGCAGAAAAAUCUAACCCUUCUCUGACAUGACUUGUGAAGUUCAAAUCUGGCCUCUAACACUUACUAGCUCUGUGACCCUGGGCUACCACUUAGCCUCUUUGCCUCA